UACGGGAGGCAGCAGGGGGAAUAUUGCACAAUGGGCGCAAGCCUGAUGCAGCCAUGCCGCGUGUAUGAAGAAGGCCUUCGGGUUGUAAAGUACUUUCAGUCGUGAGGAAGGUGUUAAGGUUAAUAACCUUAGCAAUUGACGUUAGCGACAGAAGAAGCACCGGCUAACUCCGUGCCAGCAGCCGCGGUAAUACGGAGGGUGCGAGCGUUAAUCGGAAUUACUGGGCGUAAAGGGCACGCAGGCGGUUAAUUAAGUUGGAUGUGAAAUCCCCGGGCUUAACCUGGGAAUGGCAUUCAAGACUGGUUAGCUAGAGUCUUGUAGAGGGGGUAGAAUUCCAUGUGUAGCGGUGAAAUGCGUAGAGAUGUGGAGGAAUACCGGUGGCGAAGGCGGCCCCUGGACAAAGACUGACGCUCAUGUGCGAAAGCGUGGGGAGCAAACGAGGAUUAGAUACC
rnacentral:rRNA from 1 species